GGGGCUGUUUUGGUUUUGACAGCACAUGACAUUGGACAGUAAGCACGCCGGGCGUCGGAAGUUUGCCCGUUAAUCUCAGCCUCCAAAAAUUUAGUUGGCAACAACAACUACGCACUCGCUGCCUAAUCUACCAAGUAGUUUAGCUUAAUCGACGGCCGCCAAGGCUGCGGCUGCGACGAGUAUCUCUCCAGGCUUUAGGCCGGUUAUGUCUGGAAUAUGAGGUAUCAUCCAAACCGGAU
rnacentral:tmRNA from 1 species